AAGGGAUGAAAAAUUCUGGCAGUGGGCUGCAACAUGAACUGAGUGAGGUGUCGUUGUGUAUAGACGAUCUUCGCAGCAGUAGUUUCGCGUUUAGGGGUUCAGGUCAGACCCCUUCCUCUAAAACGCGUUGGCUCUAUGAACAGAUCCUGUCCAUUUGUGUAUCCGGUUGAAAGCUGUUUACAUACAUUUUAAGCUGCCAUGGCUGUCACGAAUGACAUAAAAAUCCCCCUAUAUGUAAUCGGAUUUAUCUUGUCAGUCCUUUUCUGUAUAUGUAAAUACAUGUGCAAAAGCCCUGACAAUGAAAAUUCUGUGAUGGCUACCGCUGGCCACACCAUAAAUGUCAACAGCACUUCUCAGCAGUACACUCAGCAACCGACUGCAGCACCUGGGCCCUCUCAGUCCCACCAGAGAGCGUCCUACCAGCCAGCACCAGCUCAGCCUGAUGACCCAGCUGAGCUCAUGACCACAUCACCCAGCCAUGAACAGCCAUUCCUAAGACCACCACCAUCAUACGAGGAAACAACUGGUCCUGCCUACCCUCUACAACUGAUGCCUUCCAGUGAGACAGUGUUCAUCCCACUGUACCUAUCAGAGGGUACUGUGCAUGAGCACAACGGUCUACAGGACAGCACAGACUUCCUAACCAGCACUGCAUGCGACCCUGAAUUUGUUAUACGCUAGGCUUAAUAGUCAUAGCGCCCCAAGCAGACACAAACAUGAUGCAAAAUAUUUGGCUCAAAUGGAAGUAUGUACUUUGAAUGAAGAUGAGACACAGCAGUGUAACUUGAUGUAUUUUCAAUUUUAUUCUUUAAACCAGUUUUUAGUGGCUCAAGUUAUUUAGAAAAAUUGAAACAUAAGGUCACUGUUUCUCACUAAUUGUCUUUGGCCUUAUUCCUCAAGAUCUCUCCCUCUUGUCUUUACUCUCUAUCGGGGAAAGUACUUGACAGUCAGAUUCAGUUGUCAGCAGUUAGAAGGUGUUUCAGUGUUCAUUAGAAAUGCAUCGAUGGAUGCACAUGCAAGAUAAAUAUGAACACGUUAAAGAAGCUGACGUUAAAGUCAGGCGGUUGUACAGAAAAUCAUUGUGAAGUUAAUAACUUUUGUUAUUAUUUUAUUAUAGUCUCUUAUUAUAUUUUUUUACAUUGGAUACAGUUUGAGUUAUAGAUUUUAGAAAAACAAUCAGUUGUUAAACAGUGCGUCUCUAGUAUCUGUGGAUAUCGUCUCAUCGCUAUCUAUGAAUUUACUGCAGACCUGCAAAGUGCUGUUAACCCUUUUUCUCUGUGUAUUUGUGUGCAUUGCCUUGUAAGUCAUGCCCCAUGUGAAUGAAUUCAAAGAGUGCAAACAUUUAUUACUGAGGGUUUUUUCUCCAUUCAUGUCAGGUCAGCUGAUCACUCACACUUCCUGAACACAUACAGUUCCACUUUUUUAAUGCAUGUUGUUUUCAGUGUGUAAAAGAUGCGUUUACACUGUAUUAUUUUUGUUAGGACAUCACACGCUCCCCCAUUGAGUGAGCUGAAUUCUGGAUCUGUAAUUUAUGCUCUAGGUAAUUAUUGAAAUGAACUGACUGCUCCUUUGUAUAUACAUUUUCUCACGGAUAGAUCGAUGUGCAGCGGCCCUUCGGUCUCCCUUUACAGGGAGUGCAGAAUUAUUAGGCAAAUGAGUAUUUUGUCCACAUCAUCCUCUUCAUGCAUGUUGUCUUACUCCAAGCUGUAUAGGCUCGAAAGCCUACUACCAAUUAAGCAUAUUAGGUGAUGUGCAUCUCUGUAAUGAGAAGGGGUGUGGUCUAAUGACAUCAACACCCUAUAUCAGGUGUGCAUAAUUAUUAGGCAACUUCCUUUCCUUUGGCAAAAUGGGUCAAAAGAAGGACUUGACAGGCACAGAAAAGUCAAAAAUAGUGAGAUAUCUUGCAGAGGGAUGCAGCAGUCUCAAAAUUGCAAAGCUUCUGAAGCGUGAUCAUCGAACAAUCAAGCGUUUCAUUCAAAGUAGUCAACAGGGUCGCAAGAAGCGUGUGGAAAAACCAAGGCGCAAAAUAACUGCCCAUGAACUGAGAAAAGUCAAGCGUGCAGCUGCCAAGAUGCCACUUGCCACCAGUUUGGCCAUAUUUCAGAGCUGCAACAUCACUGGAGUGCCCAAAAGCACAAGGUGUGCAAUACUCAGAGACAUGGCCAAGGUAAGAAAGGCUGAAAGACGACCACCACUGAACAAGACACACAAGCUGAAACGUCAAGACUGGGCCAAGAAAUAUCUCAAGACUGAUUUUUCUAAGGUUUUAUGGACUGAUGAAAUGAGAGUGAGUCUUGAUGGGCCAGAUGGAUGGGCCCGUGGCUGGAUUGGUAAAGGGCAGAUAGCUCCAGUCCGACUCAGACGCCAGCAAGGUGGAGGUGGAGUACUGGUUUGGGCUGGUAUCAUCAAAGAUGAGCUUGUGGGGCCUUUUCGGGUUGAGGAUGGAGUCAAGCUCAACUCCCAGUCCUACUGCCAGUUUCUGGAAGACACCUUCUUCAAGCAGUGGUACAGGAAGAAGUCUGCAUCGUUCAAGAAAAACAUGAUUUUCAUGCAGGACAAUGCUCCAUCACACGUCCAAGUACUCCACAGCGUGGCUGGCAAGAAAGGGUAUAAAAGAAGAAAAACUAAUGACAUGGCCUCCUUGUUCACCUGAUCUGAACUCCAUUGAGAACAUGUGGUCCAUCAUCAAAUGUGAGAUUUACAAGGAGGGAAAACAGUACACCUCUCUGAACAGUGUCUGGGAGGCUGUGGUUGCUGCUGCACGCAAUGUUGAUGGUGAACAGAUCAAAACACUGACAGAAUCCAUGGAUGGCAGGCUUUUGAGUGUCCUUGCAAAGACAGGUGGCUAUAUUGGUCGCUGAUUUGUUUUUGUUUUGUUUUUGAAUGUCAGAAAUGUAUAUUUGUGAAUGUGGAGAUGUUAUAUUAGUUUCACUGGUAAAAAUAAAUUAUUGAAAUGGGUAUAUAUUUGUUUUUGUUAAGUUGCCUAAUAAUUAUGCACAGUAAUAGUCACCUGCACACACAGAUAUCCCCCUAAAAUAGCUAAAACUAAAAACAAACUGAAAACUACUUCCAAAAACAUUCAGCUUUGAUAUUAAUGAGUUUUUUCGGUUCAUUGAGAACAUGGUUGUUGUUCAAUAAUAAAAUUAUUCCUCAAAAAUACAACUUGCCUAAUAAUUCUGCACUCCCUGUACUGUACAUCCUGUACCUUAGCCUGUGUAGUGAUAUUGACAACAAAAAUAAUUAAAAAUACACUUACCCAUCGGGGCGCCGGAAACUGGUAGAUUGCAGGUAUGCCAGUUUGUCAGUCCAGCUCUGGCUGGUAAACCAAACCAGAUUAAUUAAUCUGGCCUAAAUAUUGUUAUGAGAGUUGUGAAAACUCAUUUUGUCGUUAUUGAUUUUCUGGCACGGAAUACCUUUGAAGUAGCAAAUAAAUUACGAUCGAUUAAACUUACUAUCAAUAUGUUUUUUUCCUCUUAUGAAAUAAAAGUGUCGGAGUUUCGAGCCUGUGCGGUUUCGCCAAACUUGCAGUCGAGAAUUUUCAAAGUAAAAGCCAUCUAAAGCGUCAAAAAUUAAUUGUUAACAUGCCAAUUUUUACUGUCUUGAUUUUAAUUCGACAAUAAAUAAACAAACAGACUUCUGUGACCUCACUGUUAUGGCCAUGUUCAUAAGAAAAGAUGUGCUUAUAGAUCAUGAUUGUAAAUUGUCUGUGAAUGGAAGAAGGCUGUCAGUGGGCUGGAAUAUGCAUUCAGUGUGGAGGCCACGUGUGUGGAAGAUCUACAGCAAGUAGUUUCGCGUUAAGGGGUUCAGAUCAGACCCCUUCCUCUAAGACGUGUUGGCUCUGGGUGUGCUCCCGUCCCAUCGUGUAUCCGACUGAACACUGUUCCUACACAUCCAUUUCCUGCUACCACUGCUGUCAUGAGUGAAAUGUACUACGUCUUUCUCGUUGGUAUCUUGUCAUUCUUUAUCAGCUUCUGCAGCUACUUGUGCAAGAUUGCUGCCAAUGAAGAAGAGUCUGAGGUGGCUACCGCUACUCAUACCUCUCAUUCCCACCAGAGAGCCUCCUACCAGCCAACACCAGCAGAGCUCAUGACCACAUCACCAAACCAUGAACAACCAUUCCCACAAAAACCACCACCAUCGUAUGAGGAAACAAUUAGUACACUCCACCUGAUGCCUUCCAGCCAGACUGUGUUCAUCCCCAGCGAUCCACUGUACCCUUCAGAGGGUAUUGUGCAUGAGUACCGUAUUUUCACAACCAUAAGGCGCACUUAAAAGUCUUAGAUUUUCUUCAAAAAGUGCGGCGCGCCCUAUAGCGCAGUGCGCCCUGUGUGUUGUAAGGAGGACGUAGUAGAGAACACCAUGAGAACGCUAAAGGGUGAAGUGUGUGCGUUGACUUUAUUGCACAUACCUGUAUAAAAGAACAGGUAUGUGCGUUAUGCAGGACAUCGUUGUUUUAACAACCCUGAAAAUGGCAACGAGACACGCUUACGAAGCACAGUUUAAACUGAAGGCCAUCAGCUACGCGGAGGAACAUGGAAAUCGAGCAGCGGCGAGAGAAUUUAAGAUUAAUGAAUCGAUGGUUCGCACGUGGAGGAAGCUGGAAAACAAGCUCCGGCAGGUCAAGAAGACGCAGCUGAGUUUCCGCGGACAUAAGGCGAUCAUCGAGCAAAGAACGAGCGGGAGAAGCGUUUCGACGGUCACCAUUCGGCUAAAAGCAGUUUCACUUUCACUUUUUGUGAAACGGUGCCAUUUUUCCAUCCGGACCAGGACUACGGUAGCGCAGCAACUUCCAGCGGAUUAUAAGGAAAAGCUGGCCAUCUUCCGCUCCUACUGCAGCAAACACAUCGGCGACAAACACAUCCAGCGAUGGAUGACCGAUGGAGACCACAGUUUAACCAAGAGUGGAAACCAGCGCCGGGCGAGUUACGCCAUAAUUUGCCAAUGGAUUGUAGAUGCUUGGGCUAACAUGUCUGCUGGCACUGUUGUUCGAGCUUUCGCAAAAGCCGGCAUCAUUUCCGAGGAGCCGCACGGCACGGAAAGUGACUCUGACAGUGAAGAAAGUGAACCUGGCAUGUUUGAUGAAGAUUUAGCGCAGCUGUUCAAUUCAGACACAGAGGAUGAGGACUUCGAUGGGUUUGAUUGAUGAUAAAAAUGUGAGUACCAAACUUUGUUUUGCUCCUGCUUUAUUUUUAAAUACGCACACUUGUAUGCUUGUGUGUUGUUGAUGAUGACGAUUACUGGUAAUAAAAAUGUGAGUAAGGUACCGAACUCAGGUUUGCUCCCGCUUUAUUUUUAAAUACGCAUACGGUACUUGUAUGCGCCCUAUGAUCCAGUGCGCCUUAUGUGUGUGUUAAAUACAGUAAUGGCACACAUAACUGAGACUGCGCCUUUUAGCACAGUGCGUCUUAUGGUCGUGAAAAUACGGUACAACGGUCUACUGGAUAGCACCGACUUCCUAACGAGCUCUGCAUGCGACCCUGAGUUUGUUCUACCCUAGACUUAAUAGUCACAGUGCCACAACCAGACACAUAAAUGAUUCAACAUAUUUGGCACAAAUGGCAGAAUUGGAAUGAAGAUGAGAAACUGCAGAGUAACUUGGUUCAUGUAUUUUAGUGGCUAAAGGUAGAAAUGCUGGGACAGUAAAGCUGCAUCAGUGAGAACAAUAACACUUGUUUUUGUUUGUUAAGGUAAAGUAUCUCAGUUGGUUUUACAGGAACUUCUUUUCAAUCUCUUUCUAGUAGCAGAGCACUUUAUUUUCAGUUGUUUAAGUGAGAAAAAAAGAACUUACUGCAGUUUGGGCAUGAUUGUGAAGUUUAAUAACUUCUUUUAUUAUUUUGUUAUAUUCUUUUAUUAUGAAAAUUAUUUUUUUCAUUGAAGAAAAGUUUAUUUGUUUUCUUGUGGUGUCACCUAUAGUUCCUAGAAAAACCUUUGAAGUGCCUUGAACCUUUUCCCCUCUGUAUUUGUGUGGAUUACCUUCUAAGUCUGUUGGAAACAAAGAGUGAAACAUUCAUCACUGAGGGUUUAUUCUGGAUUCAUUUUCCUUAAAACCUCAAGUUGUUUUUCGCCUACCAGCACAUAUAAAAACAGUUUGACAAAAUAAGCCUCCUCUCGUUUAUCUUAAAUUGGGUGCUGAUUACACUGUAUUAUUGCUGUUAGGACACCACUCGCUCCCUUAUUGGAUGUGUUCAAUUCUGUAAUUUACCCCCUGUUGUGUGUUGUGUGAUAAUUAUUGAAAUCAACUGACUGCGUCUUUCACUUACCCCCCCCCCCCCCCCCCAAAUAAAUAAAUAAAUAAAUAAUUCUCCCCCAAAUAUUUUCCGCUCACGUUUAGCAUUUUUGAGAAUUUACCCUGAGGCUCUUUGGUUAACCCAGAGGGCUUUGCACUAAUAAAUCGGCUGUGACAACUCAUUUUGUGUUUGUCUUGACUUUCUUUCGUGGAAUAUCCUUAAAGUGAAAAUUUAAUCGACCUGUUAAGCUUACUAUGAUUUCUUUCUUUCUUUCUUUCUUUCUUUCUUUCUUUCUUUCUUUCUUUCUUUCCUCACUUGAAAUAAAAGUGGCCCAGUCGCUCCGGUGCGGUUCCGCAAACCGCGCUGAAGAGUAUUUUCAAAAUAAAAGCCGAUUAGUAAUCGAUUAGCAGCCUACCAAUUCUUACUGUCUUGUUUUCAGUAAUAAUAAUAAUUAUCUUUAUUAUUACUAAUAUUAUUAUAUUAAAGAUGAAAAUGAAAUAAAUACCGACGUCCGGUCCCCAGUUACCUCAUUGUUGUUCAUAAAGACCGUGUAUAAAGACGUACUUAUAGAUCAUGAAUAUAAAUAGUCUGUGAAUGAAAAAAGUGGGUUGGGACAUGAACUGAGCAAGGUGGCACAUUUAGAAGAUCUUUGCAGCAGUAGUUCCUGACCAGACUUCCCUAAAACUGUCAUUGCUGGCUUUGUGUGUGUGAUCCUGUCCCCUUGUGUAUCCGGUUGAACUCCCAUCAUACACUUCCACUUCUCCCUGUUAUUGCUGUCAUGAAUGACUUUAACUUACUCUGUGUUAUACUCGGCAUUGUCUUCUGGUGCUGUGUCUUCACCUGCAGCUGUCUGUGCAGGAGCGCUGCCAAUCCAAACUCUGAGGUGGCUGCUGCUACCCACACCUUGGUCACUGCCACACCUCAGCAGUAUCCACAGCAGUACCCUCAGUACCCAGUACCCCCUCAGUCCUAUCAGAGAGUGCCCUACCAGCCAGUACCAGGGCACCCUGGUUACCCAGCUAUGCCUGGCAAUCAAGCUGUGCUCAUGACCAUACCACUCAGCUAUGAACAGCCAUUUACGCCACCACCAUCGUAUCAGGAUGCAAUUGGUCCCACCUAUCCUCUGCAACCAAUCAACCAAUCUUCCAGCCAGCCAGAGUGCCCUUCAAAGCCUCCAGCCCAGCCACAGUCCAAUGCUCUAACUGACAGCUCAGACUUCCUCGCCAGCUCGGCAAACAACCAGGAAUUUGUUCUGCCAUAUAGGCUGGAUACUUAGUGUAUCAAUCAGACAGAAAAAUUUUACCACCUGUUGUUAAUUCAUUAUUUAAUUCAAUUUGACAAACUAAGCCUUGUACACAGGGAAAGUUGUUGUUUGUUAUGUUUUUUGUGUUCACAUGGACAGAAGACUUCCCUGCUAAGGCGUUUAUUUUUUUCCCCAUCUUAUAGCCUCAUUUCCAAAAUGGUUGGAAACGCUGUACAAAAUGUAAACAAUUACUGAAUGCAGUGAUGUGCAAAUAACAUAAAGAUCACAUUUAAAACAAUACAAAGACUUUGAGACUUUUUUCAAGAGAAAUAUCAAAGUGUUAACAAAAAAAUAAUUUGUAGUGAUUACACAGGACACAGUCUCUGUAUCAUUGAAGCUUGAUUUUUUUUUAACCUAAAUUUAAUUUUUAGUCAUAGAAGUGCUUCACUAAACACGUGACGUGGCUAUAGAGCCAGCUACAAAUAAAGACAGGUCAUUUUCAAACUCCCAAAAUAUAUUGAGGUUGAACAUGCAGUUUGGGGGUCCUCUAGUGGCUGUGGCAGCUCUAUUCAUCUGCAUAGUCCCC
ensembl:lncRNA